GAUGGCCACUCCUUUAAGGAGGUUGCACAGAUGAUAGGGGUGAAGGUUUGAGGGCGUUUUCUUUUGCAGCAUGUUGGAUGUUUUAAUAUGUACAGGUGUACUGUAGCUCUUAGGAAGAGGUUGUGGAUACUGGUCUGGCUUUAUCUUGUAGAGGGGAGAGCCGAGGCCAUGACUAGUGUGAGAACAAAAAAGAUAGAAUAAAGGUCGUGAGGAAUGAUCUAGCUAGCCUUCUCUUUGCCCAAUGGUUGUGUUCUCCCUUUUAAAUUCCUUCCCCUUUUCCGCCAGUUACCUUUGCAUGUUUCUUCUGGUUGAUAAUGCUGCACAGGGAAAUUCUCGCAGUUUAUCGUGGACCCAAAACACAUGCUGCAAAUGCGGAGAUGAUACGAUGAAUUUUAUGGUUAUGGUAAGGGAAAAAAAUUAUUAAAUGCACCUGAGUAAUAAAUUUAGUGCUCUUUGCAAUUACAUAAAUGUGAGCCUUCCAUAAAUUGUGAAAGUGGGUUCCACAUGCUUUAGGUGUAUUUUAUAAUUUGGCUAUCAUGAGAAGGAUCACAAUCUCCCUCUUCGCAUAAAAUAUCCCUAGAUAUUACUGCUCCAACAAGAUUGAAAUCGGAAACGUCCUAAUAGACUAAUACUUGCUAGGAUGAUCCUCUGGGGAAAUGCCAUAAAUAUUGAUAAAAAUAACACAAAAGCAUGCUAGUUUAGGAAUUGUGUGCCAUCAAAACGUUGUUUCAGCUUGAAUUGACCAUAAUGAUUGAACAACUAUGCAUGUUUUUUACAUUUAAAACAAUAAAAGAAAAAUACUGACUUAUCAUCAUGAUAGCAAAUCCAAGAACACAACAAAAUUCUUGUUCAUGUGUAUUUAUAUUAGGAAAGGACUUGAAGAACCUUGCUACUCUAUGAUCAAAUUAUGUUUAAAUUGGAAUUAUCAGUGGUACAGAAAUCUUCUAGGACACUGAAGUAUUGAGUUUCUGCUGUGAAGAAUGGCAUUUCUAUAUGCAAACUGCAAUUUUGCUUGCCAUGGAUGAGCUUUUAUUUUUGCCUCUGCAGAACAUACAAUGGAAGUUUCGUGUAGUCAGAAUUUUUAGAAUUCUGGAAUGAGAACAUCAAUUAUAAACAAUGGCAAUAUUCCAACAGUUAUCACAUUUUUUUGUAAGAACAAACAACGACCAGCCAAUCUAAUAUGAACUUAACCACUUAACUAGAAGAGCAUUAUUUACUUUUCAAAAGAAAAUUUCCUAAUCGAGAACAAAAAAAUGUAAUCUAGAUUAGAAAAACGCAAAAGAGAAAACUGUUUAAGG
rnacentral:misc_RNA from 1 species